UCGGGCGGAUCCCUGCCCUCACGGCUCGGGUCGAUCCCUGCCCUCACGGCUCGGGCGGAUCCCUGCCCUCACGGCUCGGGUCGAUGCCUCCCCUCACGGCUCCGGAGCUGCUUCUCCUCACGUAUCAUCCAUCACUCGCUCCCAGUACACCUUCCUCACAGUUUCUGAUGCAAAGGUAACCCCAGCCCAAAUUAGGUCUGUGAUUUUCCUCUGCUCCCUUAUUGUGCAUAAUCUUUCCCUUCUUCUUUUCCCCCACUCGAAGCCUCCUGGGAGGUUUCUCCUGGGCCUGCUGCAUUAAAACUUUGAUUCUGCACAAGUCGAACUUCUGGACUUGAUGUUGGCACCACGGAGACUCUCGAUCUGAGCAUCUCUGAGUUUGAAAAGAUGCCCUCCUGUGCCUGCCUGGCACACAGGGAGCCCUCUCCAGCAUAUGCCAUCUCAGCCUCAGGUGCUGGCAGUCUGAAUCCUCAUCUCCACUUUGUGGGCUCAUGGUUAAUCUAUAAGCUCCUCGGAUUCAUCCCCCUCAAAUUCUGAAGGGCCAAACCCACCAGUUUUUGUGAACUGUCUUUUAGCCCUGAGUUCCACCAGCCUCAAAAGUUCUUGGAGAAUUACGGAGCUGUUAGCUGCCGUCUGACUGUUCCCAUGGCUGAAAGAUGCUUCAUGUACAGAUUUUUCUCCAGUUGGAGUGAGCUGGUCUUGACCCGAAAGUCCUUUGUCUGCCGCCAGUGGAUACAUGGAGAACACAGAGGCUCUUCUCUGAAAGAAAAUCUUGGAGCUCCACAGAGGUGCUGCAGCUGGUCUAGAUGCCAACAAUGAGCCUAAUGAUUACAACAGAGUCCACCCGGGACAGUUCAGCCUCCAGCCUUUGAAGGCCUCAUUUGAACAUCUCUAACUCUAAGGAAUGGCUUGAGGCUGUGCUGUUUAACACAGAAGAGGAAAAACCCAAUGAAAAAAACCCUCUCUUCUUAUUUUUGUUUGUUCUUAUUCUGGAUUGUUAAUGGCU
rnacentral:lncRNA from 13 species